CCCGUCUUCAUUCUGUCCUUGGGACGCCAUUUGGAUACAAGGCCAUUGUCAGAUGGACCAGUGGGCACGGGAGCUUCAAAUGCGUCAUGACGAAGCUCACAGAGCACAAUAGUCUGGGGCAAAUAGGCCAUACUUGUCGUGGCGACGGCAGCAUUGCCAUAACUACUGCUAGCAGUCUCCAAAUCUCUCCUCUGCGAGGCCAAAUCUCCAGCGUCCUCGCCACGACUGGAAGCAUAGUCAUCACAGUGAUUGGUCACCAAAGGUACCGAAGUUUGCGAAAACCGAGACGCCAUCAAAUCCCCCAAUGCCAUCCAAAUCCCCAAAACCCUCAAAAAAACGUAAAAGCCUUUUGCCAAAUAAAUAAUAUACACAACAAUCAAACCAAAGCAAGCAAUCAACGUUGCCCUAAUUGAUAAACCAGGUCAAAUGAAAUGGACC
rnacentral:misc_RNA from 1 species